AUACUUACCCGGCAGGGGAGAUACCAUGAUCAUGAAGGUGGUUUUCCCAGGAUGAGGUUUAUCCAUUGCACUCUGGAUGUGCUGACCCAUGUGAUUUCCCCAAAUGUGGGAAACUCGACUGCAAAAUUUGUGGUAGUGGUGGACUGCGUUCGCGCUUUCCCUUG
rnacentral:snRNA from 1 species